GACGAACGCUGGCGGCGUGCUUAACACAUGCAAGUCGAACGAUGAAGCCGGAGCUUGCUCUGGUGAAUUAGUGGCGAACGGGUGAGUAACACGUGAGUAACCUGCCCUUGACUCUGGGAUAACUGCGGGAAACUGUAGCUAAUACCGGAUACGACCCUCGGAGGCAUCUCCUGGGGGUGGAAAGAAUUUCGGUCAAGGAUGGACUCGCGGCCUAUCAGCUAGUUGGUGAGGUAAAGGCUCACCAAGGCGACGACGGGUAGCCGGCCUGAGAGGGGGACCGGCCAAACGGGGACUGAGACACGGCCCAGACUCCUACGGGAGGCAGCAGUGGGGAAUAUUGCACAAUGGGCGCAAGCCUGAUGCAGCACCGCCGCGUGAGGGAUGACGGCCUUCGGGUUGUAAACCUCUUUUAGCAGGGAAGAAGCGAAAGUGACGGUACCUGCAGAAAAAGCACCGGCUAACUACGUGCCAGCCGCCGCCGUAA
rnacentral:rRNA from 1 species